rnacentral:lncRNA from 1 species
GUUCCCCACCACAAUGAAAUUUUCACAUGGUCCAUCAUGUGGUAGGACCCCAAAUUUCCUGUUUAAUUAGGAAAUAGCAUAUUGUCAGCAACUAAACACAAACAUUUUCCAUGGAUCAGUUUUGGCAUAAAAUGAAAAUGUAAUGUUUACGAUUCGAGACGAGUACGUGUUCAAUACGGACAUACACACAUAUAUAUAUUAUAUAAUUUUUGAAAUCCGAAAAAUAUAACAAAUCUUUAAUUCUUUAUUGAUAUUUCCAUAUAUACGUUUCAAGCUGUUUUCUUCAAGCAAAGGUUAUUCUUUCUUUGUCUUAACUUCUAAAUUCAUUCAAAGGGAGAACCUUUAAACUUGGGUUUGCUUUAGAAUCUAGGAAGAAUAGAUAGAGCUUUAUGCUCUGUGGAAUUCAAAGUUCAAAAGUCUUCUUGUAUUAUUCUUCAUUGUUUUUUUUUCCAGGAUUUUCUGGAUUAUUUUACAAGUUAGUUCAAGGUAUAGAAGUGAGUUGGAGAAUUGGGUAAUUAAUUGAACCUUAAAAUCAGUUUUAUUAUAUGGUAUCCUAUGUUUUCUUCUAGCUAGACAUUCACAUUUGAUUAUGACAGGAAAAACUUUGUUUCAAAACCUUAUUGAUUAUUAUUAUCAACCCUAGAUGCUGUCACAAGGUAUGAUUUUUCUUUUCCCAAAUACAAUGAUGUUUGUUAAGAUUCCAAAAUAGACUCUUCAAUCAAUAUAGUGUACGACAAAACUGAUAUAAAAAUAUAUUUUUUCAUAUAAAUAUCAAAUGCCCUGAAUCAAUGCGGAAGUUGUAAUUAUGUAAAACUUGAAUAUAUUCGUAAUUAUAUUAUUUUAUGAUAAUUUUUUCAGAGAUCAUCACCUUAAUUUCAGUUUUAUAAGUUAUUUAUUUCUAAGUAUAAACUAUUAUAUAUGAAUUUGAAUACAAUAUGAUUAGAUAAAGCUUAAAGCUUCUAAAGAACUGGAUAAGAAGGAACUCGAUCAGUCUUAAAGGAGAGAAUUCAAGUUGUUGGUUUUUUGCUAUAAUGUGCAAAGUUGAGAUGACAAGCAUCCAUAUUGUUUGCAUGAUUUGGUUUUGACCUAUAGGCCUUCUUUUUGAUGCUCUUAUGGAGAGUUGGUGAAACAUCAUUUUCACAUUUUCUGGCAGAAACAAUGAAAGCCAAAGUUGCUGAUGCAAUCGAGAAUUAAACGUUGAGCCCUACCUGCUGCAGCCCACUGUUUAGACAUUUGGAGUUUUGGCCAUUGAAAUUUGCUCAUAUAGGUAGUAAACACUUGGAAGUGUGAAUAUAUAUACAAAGAAUAAGCAUAAAUGUUCAAAAUUAAAAAUAAUUCAUUUGCCAAUGUCGAGUGAUCUGACAAUAGAAUGUCGGAUUAUUCUUAUCUCAAAUGAAUUUAAAGAUGCAUUCUCUCGUAUUAAUUAAAAUAAAAAGAGUUAGUCAUGAUUAAUUAAAGCCUUCUAUUCUUGCUUUUUCAAGGGGUUAAAAGGUUGAAAUUAUUUCAUUGAGAAUUCCCUUUGAAUUAUCAUAUUGAAUGACCCCGGAAUUCCAGCCAGGAAGUCAGUCAAGCAAAGAAAAACUUGGAAAAUUUGUCUUCUCUCAUUACCCUAAAAUAGAAUAGAGGCAGUGCCGUGUGAAUCAGUUCAUCAAGUAUGCUAAUGAAUCAGGAUUUUCUUUGCUUUAUUAUUUUUCAAGCAAAUGCUUCUUUUGGUCUUAAUUUCUUUGAUCGUGCAGUCAAAAGCCAGUGUAUGGAAUUCAAAGAAACAACAAACUUGAAGUCCAAGUCUGCAUCAAUUUUCAUUGCCUUGGCAGGUUUUUCUAAAUUAUUGAACAAGUUAGAUAAAAGUGGGUUUUUUUAAAUUAUUGAACAAGUUAGACAAAGUGAAAUUGGCUCAAAGUUAAACCCGACAAUUCAUAUAUAUAUCUCAUAUUUAUUUAUUGUCAAACACGUAUAAAUAUAAAAAUUGACAUAUCAAAUUUAUAUCAACGCGUCAAAUAUAAAAUAUUUUUUAUUUUUUUUAAAUUCAUAUAAUUUUUUACUAAAAUUUUUAAAAAUAUCACUUUUAUUUUUUUAUAUUAUUUUUGUAUCGUAUUAUCAUAUCGUAUUUAAAAUUAUCAGAUAUACUUUAAGCUGACAUUUCAAACUAUAUUGUCAUUGAGUCUAACAGAUUUCUAAAGUUCCUUCUGUAGGAUAUUUGAAGUUGAACAAACUUUCCCCAAGUCAAAAAACUGGUAAAAUUUCUUCUACCAGCCAUUGAAAACUUGCGCCAACUGUUUAGA